UCCAGGAAACUCACAAUAGCAAAAAUAAAUAUGGGAAAGCAGUUAAUAGGGUAUCAGGGGCGUAAAUUCUUUAGACGAUGGGCCGGAUCAUCACAAUUUAGUAAUGCACGAUUACUUGAAUGCUUUGAAUAGAAUGUCUAGUACAUAUAUAUGUAUUCUACUUAUUAGCUCUUAUUCAAAGCCAUUGGAUGGCUUUGUUUCCUACCAAACUUAAAGAAAAGUUUGGUUAAAGGUAAAUACAUCAACUGACUAUUUUUAUAAUAACUGUAAAUACUUGCAUAUAAAAUUAUACAAGGUCACGCUUUUCUGCAAUGCUAUUUUACAAUACAAUAAAUCUUACUAAAUAAUUAAAUUCAUUCAUCAGCUCUAACUUCUUUUACCAGAAAGCUAGCACACUUGUACAAUUUAUGGAAUAACUACUACUAAAAUUCCAAACAAGAGCAAGAUCUCUCGACUAUAAUUUGAGGCAGGUCAUAUAUUCCUCCAAAUCCAUCCAGAAACAUAUAGGAUUAGAGGAGACAAAGUAGGACUUCUUUUCAACUUCUCUAAAGUUCUCUUAUCUUCAACUUUGAGCAAACAACUUUACACUCAUAUAUGGAAGAUAUAAUAGAAUUAUCAACUGAAAGAAAAAAAAUAAAACAUACAUUUCUUUAUGCGAUACCAGCCUAAGAAUAAAGCAACUUAUCGAGCCCAAAGAAAAGCCAGUAAGGUACUUUUAAAUGACACACGAAUGAAUUGUACCUCUCUUUGAGGGCAUUCAGACCAAUCAACACAAGUGAUCCAUGCACGAGACAUUAAUCAAAUACAUAGAAAAGGAAUAUUACCUUAUCACCAUCGUAAAUCAUUACUAAGUAAAGGCCAGUAAUUUUUUCAUGAUGAUAGUUAACUGAAGACCCUAUUUAAUCACCUUGAACACCACCUAUUUUACUCAAUAAACUACCAAGAUGUACCGCUUGUACGGAAGAUCACCUAGGAUUCAAGCAUACAACUUCUAGAUAAUCACAUACUACAAGUACCUCCAAUAACACUAAUACUCGAGCUUCAUACUAUGUGUAAAUUUUGCAAAAGAGGUUCAGCCACAACUUCUUAUAUCAACUAAAGGAAAAAGUGAUGCUAGAUAUACUAACAACUUCAGUAAAGCAAAGAAUCACUUGUAAACUCACAUGAUUUAACUGAGUAGGAGUUAGUAUGUAAAUCAUUAUACAUUCUGACAUGAAAAGUUUUUAUUUAAGUGUUGCCGGACAUUCAAAAUGUGAAUUAGUCUCGUGUAUUUUAGAAUAGUAUCCUCAACAUAAAUUUUGAAAAAAUUAAUGUAUGGAGAAAAUGAAGAAACUGCAUAUCUAGACUCUAGAGACAGUUACUAGAAUAAUAUCCUCACCUUAAGUUUUGAAGACAAAGAACAAACAUAUCAAACUCCAUCUUAACAAAGAAGAGACAUGCCAAAACUCCCACUUCAAUCACUUUGGAAUAACCAUAAUCUUCUUAACUUGACUUCUAAAAAAAAAAAAAAAACAAAAAUUGACCCCGUGCACGCUUGGUCAAAAUUCAAAAUUCGGACCAAAAUUCGAUUAUCAUAAAAAAAAAGCAGUGUUAGAUUUAGAAUAUAUGGAAGUUUAUGGAUCUAAAAGCAACACUUGUGCAACUUAUUUCCUAUUAUCAUAUAUAACCACAUAGGACAAGAGGGGUUUCUAUGAUGGUAAGCAACCCCCACUUCAACCGAGAGGUUGUGAGUUCGAGUCUCUCCAAGAGCAAGGUGGGAAAGUUCUUGGUCUAUUUGGAAACAGCCUCUCUACCCGAGGGUAGGGGUAAGGUCUGUGUACAUACUACCCUCCCCAGACCCCACUAAGUGGAAUUAUACUGGGUUGUUGCUGUUGUUGUAUAUAGAACCACACAGCUAUUUUUGUCUAUACUUCUUAAAUCAUGCUUCUCCCAAACACAAAACUAAUAUGGAAUUCUGUUUUAGUUAGAAAAUUUCGAACAAGUAUCAUUGGAGUUUGAAGUAAGCAAAUAUACAUUUCAUAGAAUAAAAAGCCUUGUAAACACUUACUAAGCGAAAGAGAAGAAUGUCUGAUAGUCUUUGGAUCCUGUCUUUCUUAUCAGAGUCUGUCAGAAUAUAACAAUAAUAACCAUCAUUGCUUAUUCCUUUCUUACCUGAUAUCAAUUGCUCAUGAAUGCAUUUCUGUUAUUUGAUAAAAAAAUUUGCAGUAAAAUGGCUAUCUUGAACCUGCAAUGUCAAUAUAUACAACGCUACCAACUCUUACAGGUGAAAAAUUUAUAGAAAAACUGCUAUCAUGUCAAUAUUAAAAAUAUCUCGAAAGGAAGGAAAAAGUAUAUAUGAUCGUUUCGAUCAAAUAGAGAUACCCGAUACAUAAAAUCUUUCAUAACUUCAUUAACAAAAUGUGAGAACACAAGCCUUAGGAAUACGGUAGAAGUAAUAAAUCAUGGAGCUUUACCCUAAAAUCGUAUGACUUCUAAGUUUAACGCCACAAAAAUUCAUACAAAAUAUGAAAACUUACUCAUAAGAAUGAAAAUUGAUCUUUUAUAAAUACCUAAUACGAGACUGGAAAAAGCAACAAUACAUAACUUAGAGGACGUCUAUUCCAUAUCGAAAAAAUCAGACUAUGAAGCAAAGGCAUGGCUCUAAAGACAACAUUUGCCACAUAUCUAAGUUUUUCUUCAUUAACACCAUUCAUUCAAGUCGAGAGCAGAUAUUUUAUACAAUUGAAAUACUAAAUUUUGGGUUGAAAGUUCUGUACAUGUUAACUCUUGUUACUUACGGCUAUAAAUCAACAUACGCGAGAGAAAACAAAUAAAAGCUAUUGUAACCGAAUCUAAUAUUGAGGAAUUAUCCGUAUUUAGAAACCGCAAUCAAUUCUAGGUACAAGAUCUUUCAUUUAUUUUCUGAAAAUUAUAGAGCUACAUCAAAAUUUAAAAUUGGAGUUUGGAUAUUUGGAAUUUUCUGACAUGUUAUUUUGAAUGGAAUUGCAAAUUGUCAUAAUGCAGUAAACCAAAAAAUUCCGAUCAAGUUAAAUUUGAAUCAAUAGAAGUACAUGCAUUCCGCAAUCAUUCAUAAACCCAAAAAAAAUUCUGGUGAACGCAACACUUGAGAUAAAAAAGAGGAAGGAGAGACGCAAAACAUGGAGAAACAAAGAGACGAGAGAAAGUUAACCUUUAUUUCCGAUGAAGAGCAUCUAAUUGUCUUUCCUUUCUGGCCUACUCUCUUCUCCCCCGUCACUUACUAUCUAACCACAAAAAUUCAAAUUAGAUUUAACAAGAAAAGAACACUUUAAAGUCAGACAAAAGAGCAUUAUACAUAUAGAUCAAGACAAAAAGAACAAGAUUUUACCCAAAUGUGGAAGAAGAAUUAACCAGCAAACUCAAAGUGUCUAAAAGAGAACCGAUAAAGAAAGAAGAGGAAGGAUGCGGUGGCUGCAAAAAUAAAA
rnacentral:lncRNA from 1 species